AAUUGUCGGAACAUGGGACAGCAGUUACAAUUCAAAUUCACAAUGCACUCAACAAUUCGUUUUGCAUUACUUACUGCACUUCUAUUUAUCGAUUCGAGUACAGCUUACGACGAUGGAUUGGUGUCAUGUCUAUGUGAUUCAGCCGAGAAGAGCACGCCGAAGAUUGCCGUCGGAAACAGACACUGUAAGGGAGGUUGUGUUGUAGACACUAAAGGUCACACAAUUUUAAUAUUAAAUGAUUGCGUACCGAAAGGCAACGACGAUUGGCAACCAUAUUAUUCAGAUCAUUUUUGCCGUGAUAUUAACGCAAGUAAACUAUUUGGGUACUCUAUUAAAAAGGUUAAGGCAGCGUUUACAUCAUUUUUUUGUGAAGACACUGGGUUUGUAUCACCAGGUAUGAUAAUAGCGAUAUAAUAUGUUGAGCAGCAACAGUGCUUUAUUUUGAAGUUGAUAAAAGAAAUAAAAUGUAACUGGAAUCGAA